CAAUUUGUGCAGAAAUCCCUGUCUCUAAUAUCCUCCCAGGACUGGCACUGAAUUUAUUAGCACACAGAUCGAGCGGGAGUUUUGAAUAGCAGGACAGCGAGCGGUAACAGCUUCUCUCCUUCUACAUAUGCUUAUUUGUGAUAUCUUAGAAAUAAGUAUCACCAUUUUCACAUGUAAGGGUUCUCUUUAGGGGGGGAAGGUUUUUUUUUAAUAUUUUGUUUAUAUUUACGUAAUUAAACUACAGUUUUACACUAUGAAGUGUUUUUUUGUAUCCUUUUAAGGUACACACAGACACAGUGUUAUACAGUGUUUUAAAGACGCUGGACCACAGCAGAAAAACAGAAUCAACCCUAAAAAGAUUACUCCCCAAAGACUCUUUUGGACUCUGCAACAAUUUUAAUGGUUAUAUGAAAUGAUAGCUCCAAUGGUUUUAUAUGCAGCUGAUUUUGUAAAAAAGUGAUUUUAUUCAUCAUUAUAACAUUGCAUAUAGAGGUGUCUGUAUUUCAUACUAUAUAUAUAUUGAUAACCAAUUCUGGCUUUUCAAACUAUAGCGCUUCCACUCACUUUUAUAAAUAGAAUAGAAAAAAUUAUUAAAUAUCUAGAAAACAAGGUCACAGAUCUCGAGGACAGAGGAAAAAAAAUAAAAAUCGAAGAAUCCGUGGGUUAGAAGAGUCAAUCACCCAAGACCAAUUAGGUUCAUACAUAUGCAAACUCUCUGUUAUCUCCAAUAAAAUUGGAUGUAUUUUCCUUUGAAAGAGCUCACCGAAUUGUGUUAAGAAAUUCCCGAGAGAUGCUCUGAUACGUUUUUUCAGCUAUCGUAUGAAAGAUCUAAUUCUACAAGCAACUAGAAAGAAAACUCCACUCGAAUAUGCUUAUAAAGAUCUAAAAAAAUUUCAAGAUAUGUCUUAUGCCACCAAAUUUGCAAGACAAAAAUUCAUAGAUCAGACCCAAAUUCUAAGAUCUAACUAUAUAAGAUACAGAUGGACCUUCCCUACAUAUCUACUACCAAGAAAAGCUAACUGCAUGGAAAAUCACUCUUAAAACCAUGGAAGGAAGUGUUUAAUAUGCCUCAGAACUGAAUAUUGGACUCUUCUUCUCUUCUCUCUAUGAAGAUUAUAGACAGAAUAUACUUAAAUACUUCAUUUUCAAAAGAUCUUUUUAGAGCUGCCCCAAUGAGGAAUUAGGUCCUAAGUGACUAGACCGGUUACCUGAAGUGGAAUAUAUUAGCUCCACAAGCACUUUAAGUUUGGGAUAUAAAUCUUCUUAGAUAUACAUUUUCAUAACCUUUUUAUCUCUUUGUACUUAAAAUGCAAAGUGUGUGUAAAACACAGUAAAGCAUAUAAUUUCAAAAUAUGUCAAAUUAAAUUUGGCAGAGAUUUCCGAUGAAACAAACUUAAAAUAAUCCAUGCAAACCCGGGUUUACUUUUGCAAACAGUAUUUCAUUAUAGUGGUAGUUUGCAUUUGGCAAUUGCUAUUCUUCUUCAUAUCUGACACUGGCCCAGUAUAUCCAUCUGUCAAAAUUUGUCUUUAACAGGUAUGUCUCUAAUUAGACUCUCCAACUUGCCAAAAGCUGUAAAAGGUAUAAACAGUAUAAGGUAGGUCUGUAUUUGAGAAUGCAGAAGAGUACAAACAUGGGGUAUUUACAAUAGUAGGGCACACUAGGUCAGUAAGUCAACAUAACAUAUUGUACCAGAACAGAGGUAAUUUGCAGCUAGACAACUAUUCAGCCCCAAGAGGUGACAUUGGUCCAAAAUAUUUAAGCUGUAAAAAUUACAAUGUAGGCAAUAUUUUUAUUUGAUUCUACAUUCACAUUGAAAAAAAAAAUGUGUGUCCAUGUGUAAAAAAAAAAGAAAAUACAACCAUAGUUUUGGCAGUGAUUGGCUAUAAAAUGGUUAUAAGGUAAGUGUCAAAAUAACUUACUGGGUUGUUUAAUCUCUAUAAAUGUACUUUAUUGUGGUGGGUUUAGGUUUAAUAGUGAUAGUCAACUCUCUGUCCCAGAAUACCAUAUAUUACAAACAUUUAGCUUUUUAACUAUAAUUCAUGUUUGCAUCAUCUUAUUUCAGAUUUAUACUGACCUAUUACUGUUAAAUCGAUUUGAAUCCUAUACAUGAGGUAUUCUCAAAAUCUAAAUGAAUCAAGUUUGAGGUAUUUAUCUUUAAUUGUAUGACUACUACUAGAAAUUGUUAAAGUAAACUUUUUUUAAGUAUUUGUUCAUAUGUAAAAGGACACUAAGCACCAAAAUAACUUUAUCUUAAUAAAGUGGUUUUGGUGUAUAGAUUAUACCCCUGCCUUCUCACUGCUCAACUGUCUGCCAUUUAUGAUUGAAAUAAUUUUCUUUUAUGCUGCCGUAGUCAUACCUUCCCUGGUUGAGAAUUGCUCUGUAAAUAGUCUGCAGCAGCUUCAUGUGUCUCAUUAAAUAUUAAGAUAAGAAUGUCUAAAAUAAACGCACUAUGCUAUAAUAUCUAAUUAAAAAUUAGACUUUUUUUUAUUCACAGAGGCUGUAAGUUACAUCCAGGGUAGGUGUGGCUAGGGCUGCAUAAACAGAAACAAAAGUGAUUUAACACCUAGAUGGCACAAAAUUGAGCAGUGAACCUCCAGAGGCAUGAUCUAUACACAAAACUGCUUAAUUAAGAGAGUGUUCCUUUACAUUUUAUUUUUUUACAGUCAAAAGACCCAUAUGUCAUUUAAAAAAAGUCUAAUAAAUAAGGGGCUCUAAAAAGUGUUAUGGUGGAAACAAAAUGGUACAAUUGCUUCAGUCACAAACACAAGAAUACUGGAAAUGAACUCAAUAAUUGAGAUGUUAAGUAAAUAUAAACACUUAAAAUAAACCUUGCAGGCCACUAAAAAUGACACUUCAAGCUAUGCUGCUUCAAGAAGGUGUAUAUUGCCAUCAUACCUGCCAACAACUCUGGGUUAGACGGGACAAUCUCAGCUUUAGGUUCCAGACUAGCCAUUACUGGGGUUGUUCCUGGUGUCAUUAGACAUUAUCACACUUUACAGAGAGCUCUCAGGUCAUUGAGUAGUGUGCUUUAAUAGUGCUCUGUGCAAGUGUAGCCCUGAGGGUUGGUGGCCAGAGCAGCCUUCAGUCAUCUUGUUGUGCAUGCAUACCAGGCUGACAUGCCUCCUUUUAACAUCAUGAUCUACCCGCCUAAUUGAUCCCACCCCCUAUCUCAGUGUAGGGAGGAAUGUGCCAUGGCAAUGUACACCAUGAUGAACUAAUAAUUUAUCAGCAACAGAUGGCUUUAUGUGCUACCAUGGAACCAUGCUCGUUAAUGAAACCACCAUGGGUGUCAUGUAUAAUAAUGUAUCUAUAAAUAGAUCAUAUUUUGUGUCAGUAACACUAAACAUGAUCUAUGCCGUCAUAUUCUUCUCUUUGCACCUUAAUGCUUUGUAUGAAGGUAUCUAUAUAAAUGAGAGAAAAAAUUAAAAAUGCUUGAUAAUGUAAUCUAAAGUUAUCACUUUUCACACUAUGCAGAUAACAUCAGUUACGGGUAGAGAAUUGUAGCGACAAAGUGAUCUAUAAUGCGUACCUAUGUUUAUAUAUAAAAAAAUUAACAUUAACAAUUAUUAGAUCACUUGAGGGGAGAGACAGAUACACUUUUAUAUAAAAGUCCAGGCACUUUUGUAUUAAACGUUUCUCAUGCAUUUAUACAUAACUAUCAUUCUAUAUCUUGAAUUAUCUGAGCACGAAAGACAAAAAAAAGUUAAAAAGUUCUGACAAACUUUCUGAUGCAUUAAAAGCAC